GGACAACAGGUGAUAAUUCCUGUACUAGUGUCAAGCGCUAUAAGAGAAGUGGGGACGCAGGAGGAUAAGUGAAGCGCACGGAUGGAAAUGUGCGUCCAAGUACGUAGGUAGGUAUUGUAGGCAAAUCCGCAAUACUGAAGAUCUGAGGUACGAUGGGGAUCGAAAAACAAGUAGAGAAGGAGCUGAAUCCACACUGCCAAGAAAAGCCACUAUCAAGCAAGACACUACCCGUACCGCAAACCGACACAGGUAGGCGAGGAGAGAAUCCUAAGACGCGCGGAAGAACCUUUGUUAAGGAACUCGGCAAAAUGGCCCCGUAACUUCGGGAUAAGGGGUGCCAGGGUAAGUGAAAUAUCCACGCGAUAAAGUAGUGAGAACCUGGCCGCAGUGAAAAGGCCCAAGCGACUGUUUACCAAAAACACAGGUCUCUGCUAAGUCGAAAGACGAAGUAUAGGGGCUGACACCUGCCCGGUGCUGGAAGGUUAAGGGGAAAGGUUAGCCGAAAGGCGAAGCUUUGAACUUAAGCCCCAGUAAACGGCGGCCGUAACUAUAACGGUCCUAAGGUAGCGA
rnacentral:rRNA from 1 species